UUCCUUGAUUUAGUAAUGAUAUUGCUCAUAGAAAUUGAUAAUAUACUAUUUUAUAUUCACUCGUUCAAGUGCUGAUCUAUUUUUAAAUUGAAUAUUUAUGUAAGUAUUAUGUAUAACACGAUAUAAAUAAUUUAAGGACAUAAGAAAUUAAAAUUUCAAGUGCCAAUAUUGAUUAUUUUUCCAGUUUUAUUCAAAUAUAUUGAAAUUAAUAUGGAAACAAAAGUUCAUAAAUAUUAGUUUGAAAAGCCAUGUCAGAAGAGUAGGAUUAAAGACAAAGUAUUAAGAGUAAUUGGGCUGUUCCUGAACAAUAUUGAAUAUAAAUAUUCAAAAAUAUGAUUGAUAACUGCAUAUCCUACUAAGUAGAUCAAUACCAAAAUCCCAUUAGAGAAAUAAGUUAAAAUUAUGUUUUACUUGUAUAAUUUUCUUGCUAUUUGUCCACCAUUAUUUGUGACUUAGAAAUUAAAUAGUCAAAAAGAAUUUAGUACCAGUUUUUAUUUCCCAAAAAAAUUGUUAAAUAAUUACAUAUUGCUUAAGAUACAGUAUAUUAUAUUGUGUUUAUAGUUGAUAAUUCUAGUUCUUAGUUGUUUAUAGUUGAUAAUUAACAAUAUUUCUGAUGUUAGAUAUUAUAGGUAUUAGAUAAAAAAUUUAAUUACCAAUAGCUAUCUACCUAUGUAGCUGCAGAUUAUAUAUUGUGUAGUAGGUACUGUAUAAUUCUUUAGUUCAAGAAACAAAUAUCAGUACAAGUAUAUAACCAAAAAAAUGUUGAUGCAAAUUCUUUGUAUAACAUACGUACCCCUAUGGUAUUCAACUUUUCAUUGUUCUUUUAAUUAGAUACACAAUAAGCACAUUAAUUCGUUUAUUAAACAACCAAAACUCUAACUACUUAAAUUCACAAUAUAAAUAUCACAAUAAAUGUAUAAGCUUUGA